rnacentral:lncRNA from 1 species
UGUCUAUGUACCUUGGGGAUCUCCUGUGAACCUUUUUGUAGGUGAGGGAUGAAAAGCUAUUUUGAGAAUGUUGUUUGAUCAAUUCGGGCAUGAUACGAUGAGAUUUUCAAUCGAAAUUUUUGGGAUUGGGCAGUUACACUUGUCUUAUCUGCUUCAGAGCUAGCUGUGGUGUGUAGACCCUUUGAAUUUGAAAUGAAGGUAUAGAUAGGAUCGGGCUGGC